AUGAGUACCCAGGAGCUGCAACUGGUUCUCAAAAGAGGAGAUGAUGCGGCUGUUCAACUCAAGGUUGAGUCCUUCAUUCGCCUGGCGAAGCAGGCUCAGAAGCCUUUCAAGAAGAUCACAAGCAGCAAAGCUAGUGGUGAGGAUUGCAGGCUGGUCAGGCUACUGGCGGAAGCCAGAGAGAUGUCUGUCUCUCUACUCGAGUCCAUGUCGCAGCUGUUGCCGAAGCAGUUCGCCACCACCAAAGGAAGCAAAUGGUCUCUUGUCCAGAAGAGAAAGGUCGUUUGCGAGGAGGAACAGUUGCAAACGCUAGAGCGAAGCAUGGGAGAUCUUGAGAACGGUGCGGAGCUUCUGUUCAGGAGACUGAUCCAAAGCAGGGUUUCCCUCCUGAACAUUCUCAGCUCGUAG
rnacentral:rRNA from 1 species